GAGGCAUGAGAAUUGCUUGAAUCCUGGAGGCGGAGGUUGCAGUGGGCCGAGAUUGUGCUACUGCGCUCCAGCCUGGGCCACAGAGCAAGGACCCAUUCUCCAAAAAAAAAAAAAGAAAUGCAGUCGGUCUCCGACCAAGCACUUUACACGUCUUGUCCCGUUUAUGUGUGCCAAACACAUCAUUAACCCUGUUGACAAUGCUUCGUAGACAGACUCUUCGUUGACAGACUCUCUUUUAGGCACCCAAACAAACCAAGGUUCUCAGCUUACCUAGCCAAAUGAACAGCCCCAUGUUUACUAGGGAGGGAGCACCUAGAGGCCUCCAUCCAGGGCUUAUUGGGGGAAUAUGUACAUUACCAGAAAGCUAAUCAUUUGGCAGUGCUUAAACUACCAGUUUUCUUUAAAUAUCUGUUCAGCAUAGGAUUGAAAGAAACCUGAUUUUCUAUUAAUAAGAAUUAAAAAGCUCUUUAUGUUAAAAAAUAAGGGACUUAUUACAUGCACCGAAUAUAACGUAAGAUAAUUGGAAUUGCCAGCCAGGAGAAUUUUUAAAUUAACAUUCAAGGGCACUGUCUUACCUCAAGGGAAUAGGACCAAUUUAGGUUUCAAAAGUUAUGUAAGGCACUGCAAGUGGCUGUGUUAAUUAGCAUCAUUUUUUAUUUUUGUGGCUCUUACAGAUUAGUAUCCAUAGAGUUUGCUGUGGUUUGAAUGUAUCCCCCAAAAGUUCACGUGUUGAAAACUUUAUCCUUAAUGCAACAGUGUUAAGAGGGUCACGGCCUGGCAUCUGCCCUCUGACCGGACUUCACCAUCCUUGCCAGACCCUGGAGAGCUUACCCAUGGCAACAGUGCAACACACUGAGGGCUGUGUGGCAGCACAGGGGCUCUGAGCUCCUGACCUGAGUCACAUGGACCUGAGGCUAACAGCCAGCCCUGCACCUACAAUCAGGGCGAGACCCCUGGCAGUUGCCCACACCCCCGUGAGAUCCAGUACCUCCCUGUAAAAUGAGGGAAAUAAACCCCUGCCUCAUGGGGUUUCAGUGAAGGGUAAGUGAAAUAAGGUAUGUAGUAUCUGACCCGCUUAGAUGCCCCAGACAUGACAGCUCUUAGGGUUGUUAGUAUAAUUAUUUGGGGGGAGGGAUGAAGUCAUAGGGGAAACAUAACACCCCACGCUUU
rnacentral:lncRNA from 1 species